UAGGGAAUCUUCGGCAAUGGGGGGAACCCUGACCGAGCAACGCCGCGUGAGUGAAGAAGGUUUUCGGAUCGUAAAGCUCUGUUGUUAAGGAAGAACGAGUGUGAGAAUGGAAAGUUCAUACUGUGACGGUACUUAACCAGAAAGGGACGGCUAACUACGUGCCAGCAGCCGCGGUAAUACGUAGGUCCCGAGCGUUGUCCGGAUUUAUUGGGCGUAAAGCGAGCGCAGGCGGUUAGAAAAGUCUGAAGUGAAAGGCAUUGGCUCAACCAUUGUAGGCUUUGGAAACUGUUUAACUUGAGUGCAGAAGGGGAGAGUGGAAUUCCAUGUGUAGCGGUGAAAUGCGUAGAUAUAUGGAGGAACACCGGUGGCGAAAGCGGCUCUCUGGUCUGUAACUGACGCUGAGGCUCGAAAGCGUGGGGAGCGAACAGG
rnacentral:rRNA from 1 species